CUGAAGGGUUAGCUUGACCCAGAGUAAUGUUCUCCAAGGGGAAGACUGACAUAUUUCCCAUUGCAGUCUAUUUCGGAGUAUGACUGCUGGUUCCUUUCUGCCGUGAGAGAAUACUUCUGCUUAAGAAUCUGCCUGCUUUCCUGUCACAGCUCCAUCAGUCAUGCCAAAAUGACCGACUGCUUUCUCCUUACCUUUGACAAAGUUCUUAAGGAGCAUGGCUCUUUAAAAAACACACACAGCUACCACAAUCACCUUGUUCCCCAGCCUGAGAGCCACCCAGACAUCAAAGACCAGAUGACACAUCCAUUCUACCUGUUGCUUCUGCAAACUUCAAGGAAAUAACAGGGUGGUUUGUUUUUGCAAAAUGAGGAAGGUCUCUGAGGUCCUUUCCAGCUCUGGAAAUUUGAGGUAAACUUUUUAUAAUUUACACGAAUGGAGGAUAAUUUUUUGGUCAUUCCUAAACAGUGUAUGAUUAAUAUUUAUAUUUGAAAUGUAUCCUUAGACCUGCUUGCUUUUUAGGAGACUUGCCUUUAUAAUGGUACAGAGAUUUAUCUUAAUUGUAAUUCUUCUUUAUAGAAGUAUUGUGUAGAACAAAUGUCUGGAAUUAAAACUUUGAUGCAUAUAAUAAAACUGUCAUUUACUAACA
rnacentral:lncRNA from 1 species